rnacentral:lncRNA from 1 species
GUCUUACCUAGAGCUUAUGUGCUCAGAAAAUGCUCUAUAAUACUUUUACCAAUAUAUGUGUGUAUUUCUCUGUGUGUGUAUUUGUAUAGGAACAUUGACAAGCUUAAUAAAGGGACUAUUAGUAAAGAAGAAUUCAGAGCUGCUAUGGAGAGCAGGUUUGGCCUGGAGAUUUCCGACCCUCAGUUUGAGCAGCUGCUGGACAGGCUCCCUCUUGACCGCCAUGGAAAUGUGCAGUACCCGAUCUUCAUGGCAGCUUUUGACACCAGAAAAGGAGUUCCCAGCCUCUUCCAGGCAGCCGCCCAGCCUGUCUUGAAUCAUAAUUCAGGCGAGGAGAAGGGCUCAGGAGAGGAUCGGAGUGACCAUGAGCUGUUUAGUCUGGUGAAGAGUUUGGUGGCAAAUCGUUACAGAGAUGUGCUGAGAGAGUUUGAAGAACUGGAUGAGAAAAACACCAGACGUCUCACUCAGGAGGACAUGUACCAGUUACUUAAAAGGUGA